rnacentral:rRNA from 1 species
UGACUGCGUACCUUUUGUAUAAUGGGUCAGCGACUUAUAUUCUGUAGCAAGGUUAACCGAAUAGGGGAGCCGGAGGGAAACCGAGUCUUAACCGGGCGUUAAGUUGCAGGGUAUAGACCCGAAACCCGGUGAUCUAGCCAUGGGCAGGUUGAAGGUUGGGUAACACUAACUGGAGGACCGAACCGACUAAUGUUGAAAAAUUAGCGGAUGACCUGUGGCUGGGGGUGAAAGGCCAAUCAAACCGGGAGAUAGCUGGUUCUCCCCGAAAGCUAUUUAGGUAGCGCCUCGUGAAUUCAUCUCCGGGGGUAGAGCACUGUUUCGGCUAGGGGGCCAUCCCGGCUUACCAACCCGAUGCAAACUGCGAAUACCGGAGAAUGUUAUCACGGGAGACACACGGCGGGUGCUAACGUCCGUCGUGAAGAGGGAAACAACCCAGACCGCCAGCUAAGGUCCCAAAGUCAUGGUUAAGUGGGAAACGAUGUGGGAAGGCCCAGACAGCCAGGAUGUUGGCUUAGAAGCAGCCAUCAUUUAAAGAAAGCGUAAUAGCUCACUGGUCGAGUCGGCCUGCGCGGAAGAUGUAACGGGGCUAAACCAUGCACCGAAGCUGCGGCAGCGACGCUGAUGCGUUGUUGGGUAGGGGAGCGUUCUGUAAGCCUGCGAAGGUGGCCUGUGAGGGUUGCUGGAGGUAUCAGAAGUGCGAAUGCUGACAUAAGUAACGAUAAAGCGGGUGAAAAGCCCGCUCGCCGGAAGACCAAGGGUUCCUGUCCAACGUUAAUCGGGGCAGGGUGAGUCGACCCCUAAGGCGAGGCCGAAAGGCGUAGUCGAUGGGAAACGGGUUAAUAUUCCCGUACUUGGUGUUACUGCGAAGGGGGGACGGAGAAGGCUAUGUUGGCCGGGCGACGGUUGUCCCGGUUUAAGCGUGUAGGUGUGUGUUCCAGGUAAAUCCGGUUCACUUUAACACUGAGGCGUGAUGACGAGGCACUACGGUGCUGAAGCAACAAAUGCCCUGCUUCCAGGAAAAGCCUCUAAGCAUCAGGUAACAUCAAAUCGUACCCCAAACCGACACAGGUGGUCAGGUAGAGAAUACCAAGGCGCUUGAGAGAACUCGGGUGAAGGAACUAGGCAAAAUGGUGCCGUAACUUCGGGAGAAGGCACGCUGACACGUAGGUGAAGUGAUUUACUCAUGGAGCUGAAGUCAGUCGAAGAUACCAGCUGGCUGCAACUGUUUAUUAAAAACACAGCACUGUGCAAACACGAAAGUGGACGUAUACGGUGUGACGCCUGCCCGGUGCCGGAAGGUUAAUUGAUGGGGUCAGCGCAAGCGAAGCUCCUGAUCGAAGCCCCGGUAAACGGCGGCCGUAACUAUAACGGUCCUAAGGUAGCGAAAUUCCUUGUCGGGUAAGUUCCGACCUGCACGAAUGGCGUAAUGAUGGCCAGGCUGUCUCCACCCGAGACUCAGUGAAAUUGAACUCGCUGUGAAGAUGCAGUGUACCCGCGGCAAGACGGAAAGACCCCGUGAACCUUUACUAUAGCUUGACACUGAACAUUGAGCCUUGAUGUGUAGGAUAGGUGGGAGGCUUUGAAGUGUGGACGCCAGUCUGCAUGGAGCCGGCCUUGAAAUACCACCCUUUAAUGUUUGAUGUUCUAACGUGGACCCGUGAUCCGGGUUGCGGACAGUGUCUGGUGGGUAGUUUGACUGGGGCGGUCUCCUCCUAAAGAGUAACGGAGGAGCACGAAGGUUGGCUAAUCCUGGUCGGACAUCAGGAGGUUAGUGCAAUGGCAUAAGCCAGCUUGACUGCGAGCGUGACGGCGCGAGCAGGUGCGAAAGCAGGUCAUAGUGAUCCGGUGGUUCUGAAUGGAAGGGCCAUCGCUCAACGGAUAAAAGGUACUCCGGGGAUAACAGGCUGAUACCGCCCAAGAGUUCAUAUCGACGGCGGUGUUUGGCACCUCGAUGUCGGCUCAUCACAUCCUGGGGCUGAAGUAGGUCCCAAGGGUAUGGCUGUUCGCCAUUUAAAGUGGUACGCGAGCUGGGUUUAGAACGUCGUGAGACAGUUCGGUCCCUAUCUGCCGUGGGCGCUGGAGAACUGAGGGGGGCUGCUCCUAGUACGAGAGGACCGGAGUGGACGCAUCACUGGUGUUCGGGUUGUCAUGCCAAUGGCACUGCCCGGUAGCUAAAUGCGGAAGAGAUAAGUGCUGAAAGCAUCUAAGCACGAAACUUGCCCCGAGAUGAGUUCU